GAUCUUUUUCAAAAAUCCCCUUGACGAUUUUCCGACAUAGUUGGAAGUCCUCCCACCGCUUAUCCCGUUAGGUUGUCUUCCUCAUGCGUCCUACCGCCGCUCCGCCGCUCUGCCGCUGCUCUCCCACCGCUCGCCCCCGCCGCCUCGCUGCCGCCCCCUCCGCCCCAAGGCGCUUUCUUGCUUACCCUCGCCGCGCUGCCGCCGCCUUGCUCCCUUGCUGCCUUGCUCCCGCGCUGAUGCCGCUUGCGAAGAAACGGCCGCCAAGAAAGGUUGGGAUUUUCCCGUCCUCCCCAUGGCGGCGGCAGGUGGAGGCGCGGCGGGCCCGGACAUGCGGGAUACGCCGGAAAAGGUGGUCGAAGCUCACAAGGUGGUGCUCUACGUAGGCGCCCCGGCAGGCGGAGCCGGCAUCUUCCUACAGUCCGGCGCCUGAAGCGGCCGAAUCCUGCAUUUUCCUGCGGCCUGAAUCCACUCUUGCGGUCGUAGCACGCGGAUCUAAGCCGCCCUCAAGUCGCUGAUGCCUGCUGGGAUAGGAACGCGCUCCGCGCCGGUCAGGAGAGGAGCAUCACGCCAUGGGAGUCAAGCAGGAGGUCUCCCGCUGGGGCUUCUCCUUUUGCUGCCGCGCACUGGAGCCGCGCCUUGGGGAGUUGGGGACGGCGGCGAGGUGAGGACCGAGGAGGCGAGGAGUGGCAGCAACGGGGCACCUCCGCGCCUCUCCCGUCCGUGGUUUCCGACCUCAUCCGCCAGCUGCUCGACAUGGAGUUCGUGGCCGGCGAGAAGAUGCACUUCGGCGGCAGUGGCUCCAAGAUAAAGGGAGAUUUCAAGGACGUGGAGGACAGGAAGCUCAGAGCUGUCUACGAGACGCUCUCCGACUCCAACCAGAAGCUGCAGUGCUACUCCGCUCGGCAGAUUGGUUCCGGUCUGCUCGGAAGCAGGGGCUAUCUGUGCCAGAAGGAAGAGGUGGUGAUUCAGCUUCCCCACAAGGCAACAAUAACAGGUUAAGAGGUUCCAGGAGCAAGUUACUAACAACAAAUACGGUUAAUGAAGAAGAUAGAGAGUCCUCUGCGAUUCUUGCUGCUGUUGACAUAGUAUUGCUUGAUCCAGAAAAUUGUGAAGAAGUUAAAGAUACAGCCCUUGGCACAUCAUUGCCAACAUUUUGCUCCAGUUACCACAUUUCAACUGAAUUUCAGUGUAGUAGAGAUGCAACCAUUGCAGUUCUCUGGCCAAACAAUAAUUUCAUAGCUACAGUCAACGGUCCAAAGAAAAGGUAGCCACUGUUAUCAUAAAUUUCAGAACCUUCACAGAAAAUUGAUGCUUAUAUACAAUCGAUUUUACAUGCUCAUGUCUAGCUUCUUUUAAUCUGCAGAUGUUUCAACAUUCUUCUUGAAUUAAAUUAUGCUACUUUGUUUAUGCGUGUUAUCAAAUUUGACUCUUGAUUUUACAUGCUCAUGUCUAGCUUCUUUUAAUCUGCAGAUGUUUCAACAUUCUUCUUGAUUUAAGUUAUGCCUAUGCCACUCCAAUUUUCGUACUUUGCCACAAUUUGAAACUUCACCUUUUGCCUUUCAUUAAUACUCCGUAGAUAUUACAUUUAUUUAUGUGUGUUAUCCCAAAUUUGCUAGCCAUGACAAUUAAAUUCAGGAGACACGAAUAUUUAGUUGAUCUGAUUGACAUUCCUUUUGCCAAUUUACCAAAAAAUAUGCUAUAUUUAUUAACAGAUCCUAGAACUUCCAUAUUAUGCUCUGUUUUCCAAUAAGGUAAUGCCUAUUUAUAUUGGUACAUGAUUGGUAUUUGGUAGGCGAUGUCAAAUAUUUUCUGUUUAUAUUGCUACAUGAUUGGUAUUUGGUAGGCGAUCGCAAAUAUUUCCUGUUUAUGUUGAUAUAGAUAGAGAUCUUGAGUACUUCCUGCACAUAUGCUUUUUGUUAGGAAAUUUUGAGAUUUUAUUGUGAACUUUUUUGUUAAGGAAAUAAGGAAAUUCGCAUUCCAAGUUGAUUAUUACAUUUUAUAAUCCAGUUGCUAGAAUAAACAAAGAAGGAGCUCCCAAUUUUUUGGUCAGCUCCUCUGAAACUAAGCCUAGAUGAUGUCUUCCGAAUUUUUUGUAGUUCUAAGGUUAUAUCCAUUGCUUUGUUACUGCUUUUAAACUUUUCGAGGAAAGAGAUUUGCAGAUUAUCAUAUGCUUAAUUUGGAUAUACAUAUUGAAGAUGAAUAAUUGAAUUUAUCCGUGAAGCUCUAUUUUUGGUUUUUAUUAAGGAAUUGGGAAGCAUUGUGGCCUAUCUUGGAGACGAAUCACAGUAGAAGUGAUAAACUUUCUGAUGUUGUUGGGAGCCCAUAUUAUGUCGCACUUGCGGUGCUUCUGAAAUCAUAUGUGGCCCAUAAGCUGAUGUCUUUCACCACCGCGGCCGUCCCAGGGGGCGUGAGCGGGCCGGUGCUCCGCAUGUGCAAGAAUUGCAAGAAGCAGUACGACCCGGCAGCAAAUCACCCAUCAUCCUGCCGCCACCACACAGCCCACUUUGGAGGGUAGAAAAGAGGGCAUGGUGCUGUGGCCAAUCCGCUGAUGACGCCAACAAGGAACAAACCAUCUUCUUAUCAAGACUACCUCCGGAAGUCACAAGACAUUUCCGUAGCACUGAGCUCCAGUCGCAGAUCAUUGUUUGUCCAGGGUAUUGGCUAUUACGGAAGGAGUAUUCCAUAGAGAAAAUUCAUCCAGAGAGCACAUAAUUUGGCAAAAUGAAAUUCUUGACCAGCAUCACAUGAAAUUGUGAAGGCAUUACUGGACACACAAUCUAGAGUAACUCAAGUGAGCAACAAAGCUGGCAGGUCCGACUUUUGAUGUCCCUUGAAACUUGUUUGAAGAAUGGGCAGGUUAAAAUCUGGAUAGAUGAGAUCUCUCUCCCCGGCGGUGCUUGAGGUGGUGUCGAUGUGUUCACUGCUCUUUCUGGUGCUGUUGGAGCUCUAUAUGGUACACUGCAUGGUGGCGCAAAUGAGAUUGCUAGGGUAGAGUACAUGCACUUGAGGGGCUUUCUUCAUCGUGAUAUAAAGCCGGAUAACUUUCUUAUGGGUUUAGGCCGUAGAGCAAGCCAGGUUGGUGCCAUUCUUGCACAUUUUUAUUUGCCCGACUUGAUUUAUCAAUUUUGUUUCCUUUCUAUUUGCAUAAUUCGUAGUGGCAUUAUACUAUUUAUAGUUUUUGACCUGGUCCAUGAUACACUGAAGAAAAGUUAUAUCAUCUGGUAGCUUGGCACUUCAAACAGGGUAGAAGCCAGGGUUGGGCAAGCUUGUGGCUAGUCCAGCCUGAUCAUAUACUCUACUGGGCAUUGGGCUGGGCCAAAAAAAAUCACAAGCUUGCCCCAUUCCUGGCUCUAGUCCUGGGCCCCGGGUGAAAGCCUAGCUGCCCCAGGUCUGUUUCCACCCCUGAAUUCAAGCCCCUCAAAUUAUAAUUAGGAGAGGCUAAAUGGUAUCACAACAGAAAUUCACUGGGUUAUAGAUGGUCCUGUACAUGAUCUUUUCUUGCUUUUUUGUUAAGCAAGAGAUUCAUCUCGAAACUGUUACAGCUGAUGUUCAUGCAUUAUGAUUAUAAUGACCGUAAUGGUGCUGUACAACUCUACUUAAUUCUACUCCUGGUGUUAAAUAAUAAAUAAUUAUUAAUACAUCAGUUGCUGCCCUGAUGGAAUGACUUUGCAACGUAA